ACGGGUGAGUAAUAUAUCGGAACGUACCCUGGAGUGGGGGAUAACGUAGCGAAAGUUACGCUAAUACCGCAUACGAUCUAAGGAUGAAAGCAGGGGACCGCAAGGCCUUGUGCUCCUGGAGCGGCCGAUAUCUGAUUAGCUAGUUGGUGGGGUAAAGGCCUACCAAGGCAUCGAUCAGUAGCUGGUCUGAGAGGACGACCAGCCACACUGGAACUGAGACACGGUCCAGACUCCUACGGGAGGCAGCAGUGGGGAAUUUUGGACAAUGGGCGCAAGCCUGAUCCAGCAAUGCCGCGUGAGUGAAGAAGGCCUUCGGGUUGUAAAGCUCUUUUGUCAGGGAAGAAACGGUGGGGGCUAAUAUCUCCUGCUAAUGACGGUACCUGAAGAAUAAGCAUCGGCUAACUACGUGCCAGCAGCCGCGGUAAUACGUAGGGUGCAAGCGUUAAUCGGAAUUACUGGGCGUAAAGCGUGCGCAGGCGGUUUUGUAAGUCUGUCGUGAAAUCCCCGGGCUCAACCUGGGAAUUGCGAUGGAGACUGCAAGGCUAGAAUCUGGCAGAGGGGGGUAGAAUUCCACGUGUAGCAGUG
rnacentral:rRNA from 1 species